GCACUGCUGUCAAUCAAUGAUUUAUAUAUACAGAACCUUUCUAACAAGUGCUUUACAUGUGACUGGAAAACUUGCACCAGAUAGUAAACAUGGACUGUAAGACUUUAUCUGCUGAUCUACUUUUCUGUUUAAAAGCCUGUUGUUGUGUAUGCUGGUUCCUUCUCUCUAUUCUCGUCGUCCGUUGAGACUCAGACUGUUUGUUUCAGCGAGUUAACUUUGAAAACUUUCCUUUGGUUCGUUGUCAGUUACUGGGAGAAGUGAGCAGAGAACCACAAAGAGUCUUAACAGAGCUCAGUUUCCUCUUCAUACAUCUACUUUGUGUGUUUGUGACUGCAUACAGGAUAAAGUUAAAGCUGCAGGUUACCAGCAGGGUCGCCGGUAGCUGCAUCUCCAGGAACGUGAUUAAUAUUAACUGUGAGGUUAAUCUGAAAACAACUUCCUGUUGUUCAGAACUGGAUCCAGGACUCUUCUCUGAAAGUUCAACUCUGAUGCUUCAAUGCAGAAGUGAACACAGAUGGAGGAAGAAGGAGGACUGUUGACCAAGUUGGGAAAAAAAAGAUUCACAAAAACUUGUUUUGAAUGUUAUCACUUGAUUGAGUGGAUGUUAUCAAUGAUCAGCUGCACCUACCAGUAGGUUCAGAUGAACGUUAGCGUCCGUUGGUAAGGUGGACGUCACCUUUGAGUUACAGACACCAUCUAACAGCUUCAGUAAUUAUGACCUGGGGAAGUGACGUAGUUCAGAUGACGUCAAUAUAAAAUGACUUGAUAAGAUGAUUUUUCCCCUGUUAGCAGCAGGCGGGUUGGGAAGAUGCUAGAUAGGAGUUUUUAUUAUAUUUUAUUGCAUUCGUAACCAACGGUUGCCAUGUUUAAACAUGUUUCAAGUGAUUAUUUUUACCCAAACCAUGAUCUUUCCC